AGAUUGAACGCUGGCGGCAUGCCUUACACAUGCAAGUCGAACGGCAGCACGGGAGCAAUCCUGGUGGCGAGUGGCGAACGGGUGAGUAAUAUAUCGGAACGUGCCCAGUCGUGGGGGAUAACGCAGCGAAAGCUGUGCUAAUACCGCAUACGAUCUAUGGAUGAAAGCGGGGGAUCGCAAGACCUCGCGCGAUUGGAGCGGCCGAUAUCAGAUUAGCUAGUUGGUGGGGUAAAAGCCUACCAAGGCGACGAUCUGUAGCUGGUCUGAGAGGACGACCAGCCACACUGGAACUGAGACACGGUCCACGACUCCGUACGGGAGGCAGCAGGUGGGGUAAUUUUGGAACAAGU
rnacentral:rRNA from 1 species